GCGGGAGUGGUGAAAUGGCAGACACGCUAGAUUUAGGAUCUAGUGCCGCAAGGCGUGAGAGUUCGACUCUCUCCUCCCGCACCA
rnacentral:tRNA from 1 species